CACCCCGCACAAGCACCUCUCCUAUCGAUCCCCUCGAGGAGAAGCCAUCGCCCCCAUCUCCCACUCCGCCGCCGUCGCCCCACGCCUUCCCCUAUCUCCCUCUCAACCACCUCCACCACCCCCACGCUUCUCCCCAUCGCCGGAUCCGCUAUGAGAUUACCAAGGUUAGGCGGUAGAGCUCCACGCCCGCGACGCGCUCGUGCUCGUCAAGGAAGGGGCUCCCGAUCGAAUCUGCACUCAUGCAGCUUGUGUGCCAUGGCCGCCAUGGCAUCCAUGGUCGACAAUAGGGGACCCUAGGCCUCGGCCAUGGCCACCUUCUCUGGACACGGGGUCGCCACAUCCGACGCUGCCAGUGCCUCAUGGACCGCCAUCAGGAGCUCCAGGUCCGCCGCUAUCGAACUCUACGGCCAUGGUCACCACGUCCAUAUUCGAUCAUCUGAUCUGAUCUGAUCCUAAGUUCCCAAGUCAUGAUGGAAUGUACACGUACGUGGAUCCAAGUCCGAGUUGGGAGCGACAUUGAUCCGAUGAACGUGCAAGGAAUUUCUGAAUCCAUGACUUUUAUUUGAGCAUAUAUGUUCGUUGGUUAUUCAAUUCAAUUGUUCGUACAACAGCAAAAAAAAUUAGCACGAAUUCCAGUAGUUGUGUUUGCUUCUUUUGAAGGUGGAUCUUCGUUUCUUUCUAAUAGUUGUGUUGCGCGAAUUUCCAAUUAUCUGAGUAUAUGUCCUAUAGUUUCCUUUAAAGAAGAAGAAGAACAUGAGGUUGGUACUGCAUCUGUCCUAGCACGAGGAACUUUGCUACAGUCUUUGUGGACAGGUUGACGACAGGAGCUGAAGUACGUUUGAACAAACGUUUUCUUUCAGUUUUCCCAAAUAAAUUAUUCAGAAUUCAGGUUUUCAAGCAAGACUGAUGCAGAACUAGCGGUACAUUUCUAAACAUUGUGCAUUUUUUGUCAUCCGUCGGGCACUUCAUUGAACGAAUUAUGAUCCUUUAGUUUUAUGAACUGGGAAUUCUGGUUUAUUUUAGGCCAAAUAUUCUGUCAACAUGUCAUUUCUUACAUACAUCUCUUUGAUUCUUCCUAGAAAACCAGCCUCCUUAUCUGCAUUUUUGGGCAACUUUAUGGUCCACUUACUAUAUAUACACAUGGUUUUGCCAUCUCGCUAGAAGCUGAUUGGUCAAGCAUGCCACAAAAAAUAUUAGGCGGUACAAUGCAUUUCUCGGAACUAACAGCCCCAUAACUUGUGACAAUAAACUGAUUGCCUCAUAUGCUAGAAGCUUGCUGCAAUUUACUGCUAGGAAAUCUUAUAAUUGGGCAGCACAAUAACAAAGAGCAAAGUUGCUAAUUCACUUCUAAUGAAUGUGCAUUGGGAGGAAUGAGAGGGCACUACACUUCUCAUCUGCUAUACUUUUUUAGAGACUUUUCAUUUCCUACCCUGCUGGAUGAUGUCUAUAUGAAUAUUCUUCUUCAAAGUCUUCUAACCGUCAAGCUGCAUAUCGGCGCCUUCAAUAUAGAGUUGAUUAUACUGUCUAUUUUACUGCAAGUAGGGAAAGAUGGACUCUGGAUAUCCAUAUUCUCAGGUGUUAAUGUAGUGCUAGGCCAUAUAGUAUAGGACUGAGUUCUUUCACCUCCUAAUCAUGGUAAUUCAAUUCAAUAUUUGGGUACUUUGCUUUUUGCAUAGUUGACGAACAACAUGGCCAUUGCCAUCUAUGAAUAUAUGUACAAAAAGUGGCGAAACCCUUUAGUUUGCUGCAGUUCACCCUCUAAAAUUUCUGCACGCCAAAGUCUCUGUAGCUUUUUAUAGAUAUUUUGCACAUGUACUUUCCCUAUAAAUAAAAGCUGCCAUGUGUACUUGUGGAUAAGCUAAACCGAUGACGUCUUGGAGAAGCUUGGAAUGAUGUACAUAUCUGAUUUCUCAAGUGUGUACUCUGUGGAAAUAAGCUAUAUUGUAUACUUUCACACAUCUAAUGUUUUGUACUUCAAUUCAAGUUGCAUAUAUUUUGUUUGUUUGAUUAGCUAUUCUUAUAAAAAUAAAUGCACAACUAAUGUAUGACUGAUCUUAUGAUUAUAGAUGUGAUUUAAUUUCUGUAGCUUCCUGAUGAAGUUUGCAUCAACUUGAGCUUUCUUUGAGAAGGAUUUGUUUUUCUGGUAAUCCCUAACAAAAUGAUUGAUAGGGAAGCAUGCAUAUAAUUACCAAAGCAUGAAAAAGAAUUGCCACUUCCUUACCUCCUUGUAACAUCAUUGUUACAGGUUUGGAAAGCUUUCGGCCUAGAUGCCAUUUCCUAAUUGCUAGAGCUACAAGGGUACAUAUUUACUUCCUUAUCAUCCUUGAGCCAUGUUAUCUGCGAGGGUACUUAAUUGCUUACGUGUUUGCAAUUUCUAUUUUUGAAUUUUUAUAGCUAAUCCUCUCUUUAAUUUUCAAUCAGCUAUUAAUUUGCUUACACAUGAAAGAACUUUUCCUAAUGCGUGGGUGUUUAUAGAACAUUGCUGGUCUCUUCAAUGGCAAUCGAUAUUCACUGGUGUUGUCAGGCAUUCAAUCAGAGGUGCGGCAGGCUUCUGACAUCAACGACGUUGCCAACAACGUCUAUCAGCACAAUUCGGCCACCGGUCCUACCGUUAUGUGAACUUGGAUCUCUGGCAAAAACUGAAAAUUUCUUUUUGGGUUAAGCACUACUGAUUUGUGGUGGUAAAUUCUUUUGGCGAGGAAACUGAAAUAUACUAUAAUGGCAGUAUCUCGACCGGCAUUGAGGAUUAAGGACUUUAACUGUGCCGCCACAUUUUGUAUGCAUGGUAUUCUAUGCACAAUUUGUUUGCUCAUAUACAAGGAAUGCUCACUACAUUAUGAGACAAAAGUUUAUUAUGGACUGGUAAGAGCUUACUGAUGAUUCAUCAUGUCAUCCUUAGAUACAAAGAUUAAGGUGUACACAAUUCAAACACUCAUGUUUGGCAUGUUCCACGCAACACACCUGCUCCAUGAAACAUCAUCAUUAGUCGGGGUAAGCACUCCAUCACACAUCCUCCGUAUUUUUUCAUAAUUUUUUGAGAUGCAUUUUAGUUUUCUCUUUAGUUGUUUUGUACUUACUGAAAUAAUGAAUUCAGUAGCAGAAAUUUCUUAUUUAUUUGUUGAAACAUGGGCAUGACUCAUGCAUUUUGUUAGGCUGAAGCACAGGAAGAAGCAGUGUGCAAUGACAUUUGUAUUUGCAGUGUGAAAAUCUCUUGCGUAUUCUUGGUCUUGUUUUUAUUGAGCUCAUAGUUGUGUAUUAUUUGUUUUCAUUUCUUUGGAAGUGAUAUAUUUGGUAAUAGCAAGUUCUUGUGUGGUGCUCCAUAUAUGCAUUCGGGAUUAUAAAUUAGAUUUUCCAGUAUCUUACAUCAGGGAUCAUCAAUGGGGAUGAAAAGGAGGUCGAAUGAUUUAUCCUGGGUAGUGAUAUGAGUUAUACCUUGUAAGUGUUCUACAAAUUGGAUAUCAUGGAAUGCCCAUUUGGCAUCAGUAGCGAAUUGACAUAGUGCUUUGAUUUUCAAUAAAUACAGGAGAUAAGGGGGUGAAAGGUAUGAUGCAGUCUAUUGUGGUACCUAGAUGGAACUGUUGAACCGGUGAAAAAGUCAUAUUUCAGUAUCUCCUAGAUGGAACCGUUGAACCGGUGAAAAAGUCAUAUUUCAGUAUCUGCCCAACCUCUGCAUGUAAUACACCUACUUUGUUCUUCCUUUAUUUUGUUCUAAUGACUAACUUGACCAUCUCAAUUGUCAUUAUUCCCUUUAUAUAGUAGCACAUAUAAAUAGGUGUAUUUUACAUUACAUGGUAUGCUAAAAUCUGAAAUCGUAUUUAAGAGUUUACUCCCAUUUACUUGUGUUUUUUCAUACUAAUAGAAUUAAUGUCAAUUAGACAUCGUGUUUAUUCAAACUUAAUGGUUUUUCAUGGAAUAUGGAAUUUGAGUAUGAUAGCUAUUGAACUGAAAAUAAUCUAUCGAACAAUAAUAAAAUGAUGAGCAAGUUAUUGUAUCGCAAAAGUCCUAACUGAAUGAUAGGCUAAUACACUUGUGAAAUCAAAGUGCUUUGUUUGGAUACCAAGCAGGAAAAUAGUUCACAUAGUUUUGCCACUAUUUUAUUCCAUCUGUUAAUUUGCAACUAUUUUAUUAGAUAUAUGGAGUACUAAUUAAUUAGCCAUAACUAUAGUUUAUUAGUUAGCUCGUUCGUUUUUUUGCCUCCCAGGUUGGUUCGCUUCCUCUCCUCACCCCAUUAGGACAAUUACAGAAAGGAAAUAGGUGAAAGAAAAUGUUGGCGGUUUGAAAAGACUUACCAGAUCCACCCAUGAAAUCUCUCAAAAGACCUGAUGAAAGCUUCAGAAGUUAGCUACCAUCAGUUCCUACGGUUCAGCACUGCACAUAUAUUUUCUAGAUUUUACACAUCAGAAAAUGUCCCUUGUACUUGACUUCCAUAUUUUUUGCAGCUUCUUUCUUUGGCUUAUUUCAAGUAAGUUGGAAGUGUCUUCCAAUUUUCUUAUGUUCCUGAAGAUGCAGAUUCGAGAGGAACCACGAGGGGACCUAGAAAAGCUAGCUUAUUCUCAUUUGAGAAAAAUCUCAUUUCUGCCACAAUCUAGCAAUCCCACUAGAGGAGAACCAGCAUCACUUGACAAGUUCAUGUAACCCCAAAACGAAGGAUCGUCCUUGCUACCCCUUCAGGGAAGGAUUCUGAUGAAGCCUAGCUAUUGUUGGAGGUUCCUCACAAUGCAUGACACUAACAGGUAGAAUUAAUUUAGCCUAUUCAAUGGAAGUGUUUCAACAAAUGCAGGAGGAAGAUGCCGGGACUCCUACUCGCUAGAGAAGAACAAAAUUACUAAAGUACUACAUUUCUUUUCCAAGGCAUUCAUUCUUUUAAUAUGGUAAAAGCACGAGGCAUCCGAUAUCACAUAGCAAUAAAAAGGGAGAAUUACUAAUGAACACUUGACUGAAAAUUGCAUUCAAGUGACUUGGACUGCAGUUUGCCUUGAGAUAAAGAGAUUGGCCAUAUUGUAUAGAUAUUGACUGCAAUAUAGGAAAGUUUCAGGUCAUAGAAGGGAGGGAGCAGCUGACCAGUGGAAGGUGGCCUGUGGGUUGAGGAGCUCGGUGGCGAAGAGAAGCCGUCGGCGUUGGGGUGCACCACAGGAUCCCCUCCUUAUCUAGCUACGUGCAUCCAGGUGUGCACGGCGUGGGGAAGGUAUCCAGGACACCGAGCUGGAUCCCUGAGCGCAUGGGACGGAGCCCACCACGCGCUGCAAGGUGCGUGCGAGUCGCCGGGCGUGGCCACGACCAGAAUCAGACAUGUGCGCCACCAGCGCGGCUGGGGGCGGGAUGAAGGAGUGGUACAACAAUGUAGGGCCAGCGGGAGCCGGAGGCGCUGCCUCUUGCUGGAAAGAAAGCCACCGCCCUUGCCCGUCGUUAUCGGCCUGCCGCGGCGAGACGAAGGGGAAAGAGUGAGCGGCCAGGGAGGUGUGAGAGCGUUGUUGUUGCUUUAGAUUUUUUUUCCUUAUUUUUUUGUCCUAUGGCUGUAAAAUUUCCUUAUCAUUUUUUUUGCUGGAGGCGCAUAGCAUGUGAACUGAAAUUUUUGAGCUGAAGUUGAUGAAAAGAGUUUUCCCCGCUUUAUAUAUAAA